AUGGUGGUUAAGCGUUGAUUUGUUGCUUCCUCCGAGUAGUUUAGCCUUGAGUUGUGGUUUCUACUUGAUGGUUAAGCAUUUGCCCUUAGUUGGCUUUGAUGGGUUGUGUUUCUUCCUUAUGAUGGUUAAGCACAACUAGUUGCAUUUGAGUUGUCCUUUUAGCCGAUGUAUUCCGGCAAAUCUUAUUGUAUUUUCUUUUGAUUUGAUGUACUUUUGUAUUGCUUAUCCCAAGCUAGAAGUGUUGUGAACACCUUCUAGCUUGCGGGAGGGUGUUAAAGAUAUAGUUAGUUAGUAAUUAGGAGGAUUAGUUAGUAGUUUCUUGAUGCCUAUAUAUAGGCUUUGAUGUAAUCUUUUACAUUCAUUUUUCUCAUUUUGUAAUAUUUUUUCUUCAUCAAUAUUAUAUACUUUUGAGC
rnacentral:lncRNA from 1 species